AUUGAACGCUGGCGGCAUGCCUUACACAUGCAAGUCGAACGGCAGCACGGGUGCUUGCACCUGGUGGCGAGUGGCGAACGGGCGAGUAAUACAUCGGAACGUACCUUAUCGUGGGGGAUAACGCAGCGAAAGCUGUGCUAAUACCGCAUACCGCAUGAGGGGGAAAGCGGGGGAUCGAACGACUUCGCGCGAUUAGAGCGGCCGAUGCCUGAUUAGCUUGUUGGUGGGGUAAAAGCCCACCAAGGCGACGAUCAGUAGCUGGUCUGAGAGGACGAUCAGCCACACUGGGACUGAGACACGGCCCAGACUCCUACGGGAGGCAGCAGUGGGGAAUUUUGGACAACGGGGGCAACCCUGAUCCAGCAAUGCCGCGUGAGUGAAGAAGGCCUUCGGGUUGUAAAGCUCUUUUGUCAGGGAAGAAACACCGGCUCUAACACAGUCCGGGAAUGACGGUACCUGAAGAAUAAGCACCGGCUAACUACGUGCCAGCAGCCGCCGUAA
rnacentral:rRNA from 1 species